rnacentral:lncRNA from 1 species
CUCAGAAUCAUUAAAAAAUAUUCUUGUGUAAUUUGGCUUGCUCUGUCUAUGAUCAUCACAUUAUUGUAGAAUCGCGAUCUUCUUGUAUUCUAAUAUAAUUUGACUUUGUUGUACUUAGAUUCAUAAUUGACACCAAAUCAACUAUCUAGCUUCAGCGACAAUGAGAUCCUCGAAAAAUGGCAUUAUGUCGAUCAGCAUGUAGACCCUUAAGUGUUUGAGGAAGUUGAAGGGUGUUUGAUGUUGGGUUAAUUAAUUUGGCAUAUGGGCCUACAUAUAUAAUUAAGGGAAAAUUACAUCUAACCCUUCUUUUUAAAUUCCAAUUUCAAAAAUCAUGUUUUAAUUAUUCCUUUUCAACAUUCAGGUGGUAAUUAUUUUUUUAAGGAAAAAAAAAAAAAAUACAUCACCCAUUAACACAAUACCCACCCUAAUCUGUCAAAAUCUCUCUCUCUAAAAAGGUUCUCCAUUUUACCAUACCCAUUACCCACAUAACUCCGGCAGAUUCUUUCCAUCUCCACCCUUACUCCCAUAUCUAAUUCCUCCACCAGCAUUACCAUCAUCCAUAUAUAACGACAUCCCUACCUCGACGGCUUCACAAUAAACAAAUCGAAAUCAUAAUAAAUAUUCUUCGAAGUUUCCUCCAUAAAUCCAGUAGUAACAGAAAGUGAAGAAGAAGAAGAAGUAUGAUGUAGCAGAUCUACAUUAGGUGUCGAUAUUGACGCCAUCACCUUCGGCGAAGUCAUUAGAGUCUUAUUUCAAAACUAUGAUAGGCAGAGUUGGUUUGAACACGACGACGGUGAUGGGCAGUAUAGUUGGUGAUGUGAGCAGCAGCAAUACUAAGUCUCACCGUCUCAGAAAGGUUGGAAUUUCUUUAAGACGAUUCAUUGUCACAUAUUGGGCAACCGGUUCAACGUGAAAAGUCCUAUUUGUUCAUAUGAAAUGUAAAUAGGAUAUGGUAAGGCAGAAAUGAUUUUGCCUUAGAAUUUAGAUUGGGAAUUCUCUUAAAAGGUGAGUUUGUAAGUAUUUUCUCAUGGUUAUAGUGGUUUGUGACUAAUAGAAAUGUUGAGGUUUGUAACAAGGGAAUAACUUGGCAAUGGCGAUGGCAAUGAUGGUGGGGGUAGAGUGUGGCGGGAUGAAAGUUGACUAUGACCAAUUAUUGAGUAAUUGUGACUGUCUAUAUAUAAAUUGUAAUCAAUUAAUUUAAAAUUUUGUGAUCGAUUAAUUAUUUGUG